rnacentral:rRNA from 1 species
UAGCAGUGAGGAAUAUUGGUCAAUAGCCAAACGGCUGAACCAGCAACUUGGAAGAAUGUAUAGGGAUUACCUACUUGCUUCAUGAAAACUGAUGCAAGAUCGACUAUGUCGUAUAAAGUUCUAGUCAGUACUAUGAUAAUGACAUUGUCUGGCUAUGUGUCUUGACCAAAUUACGUGCCAGCAGUCGCGGUAAUACGUAGAAGACUAGUGUUAUUCAUGUUUAAUCGGUUUAAAGGGUACCUAGACGGCAGAUCAAGCCUUCAGUAAAUAAAUAAAAAGGGACUAAUUUAGCUAGAGUUACUUAUGAGGAAGCUAUAAAGUACUGCUGGUGUAGAGAUGAAAUUCUGUCAUACCUCUUUUCGAUAGGAAAACGACGGCACAGGUAAAGGCGAAGGC